rnacentral:lncRNA from 1 species
UUGGAACAGAAUGCAGGUCUCUAAUAGAUGUAUAAAUUACUGCAUGUUUGUCACAGCCUGAAAGCUGGCUUGAUAUAUGGAUAAAGAUAACUGUUUCUUGAUGAGCUCAAGUCCUUGAGUUUUAGCACCUGAAGAAAUUUAUAGACAGUUGCCUGAGACAGCAUGAAGUCUUUGUUUGAAGCAACAUAUUUUUAGAACCUUAUUUUUUUGUGCAUUCACAUAAUGAGCCUGAUUUUUGUGUGUAAGGUACGCCCCAAACUAAUGCUUGUAAUCAAUAGAAAAAGGGAAUGGUCAGCAUCCCUGCGAACUAAUGCGCACUAAGAGAAGAAAGUGGUUUUUCUUUUAAAAAGAAGAGAUCAAGGAACAGAUAAAACAGUAAAAAAAAAAAAGAAUUCUUCUCUGUUUUUCAGAAAACAAAGCCCAUUCACCAUUUAUAGCUCUUCUAAGUGUGAAGAACUAGCUAUGAAGAGGAAAAUUCCCAACCAAAGGUGUCGUACAGGGGAGCAAAGGAGCUGCUUGUUUUCAGACUGAAGAGGACUAGGCACCAAAUAAUAAGCAAAAAUAUGCUGUCAUCCCCAGCCUCUUGCGGGAUGGAGGAGAGUCUGACAACUUAACUUGGCUUUGCUAUCCCUCAUGGGCAACCAUGCUUCCUUUCCUUCCUCUGAUGCAUUGCACAUGUAAUGUGUCUUGUCCUGCUGCCAAUACCACUACAAUAGAUUACGGUGCUUCUCUGAACAGAGAUGCUGCUAUCCUCAACUUUGUGUAACUAAAGAUUACCACUGCAUGCUGUCUUCUGGCUUUCACUAAAGUGAAGUACAAGGAAAUACUGCAAAGGGGAGGUAUUUUGGAUGCAGAUUUACAAUGGUUCGUUAUGCAGAUAAGAAAAAAGCGAGCAAAACACUUGCCACAAUACAGAUGAUGUGUCCAUAAGGAAAGGUCAAGUGGAA